UACAGAGGGGGCAAGCGUUAUUCGGAAUUAUUGGGCGUAAAGGGCGCGUAGGCGGCUUGGCAAGUGGGAAGGUGAAAUCCCUCGGCUUAACCGAGGAACUGCCCUCCAAACUGCUUUGCUUGAGGCCGGGAGAUGGUGAGUGGAAUUCCCAGUGUAGCGGUGGAAAUUGAUAGAUAUUGGGAGGAACACCAGAUGGCGCAAGG
rnacentral:rRNA from 1 species